UAUUAAUGCAGAUAUUUUUUUUUGUUUUUCUUUUCAACGGAACAGCUUUCAGAUGUGAGUUUGGGAGGUUCGACGGUGUUCCCCUACGCCAAGGCGGGCGUCUCCCCGCGAAUGGGCUCGGCUGCCUUCUGGUACAACAUGCGCGAAGAUGGCAGCUACGACGUGCGCACAUUGCACGGCGCAUGCUCCGUGCUACAUGGCACAAAGCACGUCGCCAACCUAUGGAUUCGAACCAACGGCCAGAUGUUCCGCAGACCGUGCCCGGCGACGCAACGGAGAAGGACACUAGAUUCGGCAAAGCUGUGAUAGUUGUUACCUGUGUUACUUCCUCUCUUGUUCCUGCCGCUAUUCGUUCCUUCUUUUGAGUAUCUUUUUAUCUUCGCGAUAUUUCAAUUUUUUAUUGGGAACGACGGGUCGUCCCUAUUAGCGUACAUUGUUUUUUUUUUAAUAAAAUGAAAAAGAAAGUCAGAGGCAUCGUUUAUGUAAAGGAUGCGCACGCCACCUUCAUGGUGUUUAA